GGCUCAGGAUGAACGCUAGCUACAGGCUUAACACAUGCAAGUCGAGGGCAGCGCAGUGUAGCAAUACGAUGGGCGGCGACCGGCGCACGGGUGCGUAACGCGUAUCCAACCUUCCCGUUACUCAGGGAUAGCCUUCCGAAAGGGAGAUUAAUACCUGAUGGUGUUCAAAUUCCGCAUGUUAUUUGAACUAAAGAUUCAUCGGUAACGGAUGGGGAUGCGUGACAUUAGAUAGAUGGCGGGGUAACGGCCCACCAUGUCCACGAUGUCUAGGGGUUCUGAGAGGAAGGUCCCCCACACUGGAACUGAGACACGGUCCAGACUCCUACGGGAGGCAGCAGUGAGGAAUAUUGGUCAAUGGUCGAGAGACUGAACCAGCCAAGUAGCGUGAAGGAUGAAGGUUCUAUGGAUUGUAAACUUCUUUUAUGUGGGAAUAAAGUCAGGGACGUGUCCCUGUUUGCAUGUACCACAGGAAUAAGGACCGGCUAAUUCCGUG
rnacentral:rRNA from 1 species